rnacentral:rRNA from 1 species
CAAUAGCGUAUAUUAAAGUUGUUGCAGUUAAAAAGCUCGUAGUUGGAUUUCUGACCGAGACAUCAGGUCGGGUCCGAGAGGAUCAUGUACUUUGAUUUUGUUUUGAUCAUCCUUGGGGAGAGCAUUUCUGGCAUUCAGUUGUCGGGAUUGGGAUCCUCAUCGUUUACUGUGAAAAAAUUAGAGUGUUCAAAGCAGGCCUCGGCCUCUGAAUACAUUAGCAUGGAAUAAUAAGAUAGGACUUUGGUGGUCUAUUUUGUUGGUUUGCACGCCAAAGUAAUGAUUAAUAGGGAUAGUUGGGGGUAUUCGUAUUCAAUUGUCAGAGGUGAAAUUCUUGGAUUUAUGGAAGACGAACUACUGCGAAAGCAUUUACCAAGGAUGUUUUCAUUAA